rnacentral:rRNA from 1 species
UUAGAGUUUGAUCCUGGCUCAGGAUGAACGCUAGCUAUAGGCUUAACACAUGCAAGUCGAGGGGAAACGGCAUUAUGUGCUUGCACAUUUUGGACGUCGACCGGCGCACGGGUGAGUAUCGCGUAUCCAACCUGCCCUUUACUUGGGGAUACCCCGUUGAAAGACGGCCUAAUACCCGAUGUAAUUCAUUGAUGGCAUCAGAUAUGAAUAAAAGAUUUAUCGGUAAAGGAUGGGGAUGCGUCUGAUUAGCUUGUUGGUGAGGUAAAGGCUCACCAAGGCAACGAUCAGUAGGGGUUCUGAGAGGAAGGUCCCCCACAUUGGAACUGAGACACGGUCCAAACUCCUACGGGAGGCAGCAGUGAGGAAUAUUGGUCAAUGGGCGCAAGCCUGAACCAGCCAAGUAGCGUGCAGGAAGACGGCCCUAUGGGUUGUAAACUGCUUUUAUACGAGAAUAAUUUGAUGCACGUGUGCGUUAUUGCAUGUAUCGUAUGAAUAAGGACCGGCUAAUUCCGUGCCAGCAGCCGCGGUAAUACGGAAGGUCCAGGCGUUAUCCGGAUUUAUUGGGUUUAAAGGGAGUGUAGGCGGUUUGUUAAGCGUGUCGUGAAAUUUAGGUGCUCAACAUUUAACUUGCAGCGCGAACUGUCAGACUUGAGUACACGCAACGUAUGCGGAAUUCAUGGUGUAGCGGUGAAAUGCUUAGAUAUCAUGAAGAACUCCGAUUGCGAAGGCAGCAUACGGGAGUGUAACUGACGCUUAAGCUCGAAGGUGCGGGUAUCGAACAGGAUUAGAUACCCUGGUAGUCCGCACAGUA